rnacentral:rRNA from 1 species
AACGUAGGAGACAAACGUUAUCCGGAGUUACUGGGCGUAAAGGGCGUGUAGGUGGUUUAGUAAGUCUGGCGUGAAAUUUUUCGGCUUAACCGGGAAAGGUCGUCGGAUACUGCAAGACUAGAGGACGGUAGAGGCGUGUGGAAUUCCGGGUGUAGUGGUGGAAUGCGUAGAGAUCCGGAAGAACACCGGUGGCGAAGGCGGUCUGCUGGGCCAAGACUGACGCUGAGGCGCGACAGCGUGGGGAGCAAACAGG